rnacentral:rRNA from 1 species
CCUACGGGCGGCAGCAGUGAGGAAUAUUGGUCAAUGGACGAGAGUCUGAACCAGCCAAGUAGCGUGAAGGAUGAAGGCCCGAUGGGUUGUAAACUUCUUUUAUAGGGGAAUAAAAUGUGCCACGUGUGGGAUUUUGUAUGUACCAUAUGAAUAAGGAUCGGCUAACUCCGUGCCAGCAGCCGCGGUAAUACGGAGGAUCCGAGCGUUAUCCGGAUUUAGUGGGUUUAAAGGGAGCGUAGGUGGUUUUUUAAGUCAGUUGUGAAAGUUUGCGGCGCAACCGUAAAAUUGCAGUUGAAACUGGCAGUCUUGAGUACAGUAGCGGUGGGCGGAAUUCGUGUUGUAGCGGU